UACGUAGGGGGCAAGCGUUGUCCGGAAUCAUUGGGCGUAAAGAGCGUGUAGGCGGCUCGGUAAGUCCGCUCUGAAAGCCCGGGGCUCAACCCCGGGAGGCGGGCGGAUACUGUCGGGCUAGAGUCCGGAAGAGGCGAGUGGAAUUCCUGGUGUAGCGGUGAAAUGCGCAGAUAUCAGGAGGAACACCAAUGGCGAAGGCAGCUCGCUGGGACGGUACUGACGCUGAGACGCGAAAACGUGGGGAGCAAACAGG
rnacentral:rRNA from 1 species